UUUUCAUGCCUAGCGGUGCGGCUUGGCUCCUACCUGGCGUAUUGCACUCAAGACGCGUCCCUUUAUGGGGCUUAGUCGAGACGUGUCUUUCGUUGGGCGGUGCUGGGUUUAAGCUAACGUGAUGGCGUAUGAGUGGUAAUUGGGUUAAAUUGGACGGCAGGCUCCGUGCUUUGGCAUCGAACUGUCUUCUUGUACCCCGCUUCAUGGAUGCUGCAUCAAGAUUUGUCUUGUGCGCGUGACGGUUUUCUGUGUUGGCUACCUAUUAUUAAGGAAUGUUGCCUCUCGUUUGUCCAUUUCCUCCUCUUGCUGGCAUUGCUGGCGGGACGACGGCAUCGUAGCGGCGCUCGUGUCCCGAACAACCCUCACCUGUUGUGAGAUCGUGUCGGUCCUCGAGUUUUCGCUUGAUAUCUCUCGGAUGCAGAACGCAAAAGGGACGGUGGGUCUAUAUACGGCCUCCGAUCGUCCAUUCGAAGCCUUGUCGCUUGAUGCGUACGACUGUUGUGCCCGUCGCGAGCUCCUGACCUCUUUGGUCGUUUGUCCCGCGCGGUGUCGACGUCGAAGAGGAAUGC
rnacentral:misc_RNA from 1 species